UGUCUUCCAUUGUCUCUGGACAAAUAUAAAAUAAAAUUCACGAGACACGGUCUCGUGGAACGUGAAAGUUUUGCCGAAGACGAGUCGGCCGGAAGCGGCGUCGAUCACGAUCGCGGAUCACGAUUCACGGACGUUUGCUCGUGAACGAGGAUGCAGGAGAGGAACGUGAGAGAACCUACUUUGGAGAACCACUGUCGCUUCCCUUUCCUCCUCCUCCUCCUCUACUACUUCGUUGCCCUGACAUUUCCAAGACUUUCUACUUCUAUGAGGGUUCACCGACCCCGUCGUGUUCGGUUUACGAUCUCGAGAGAUCGUGGCUUCCAACCGUCGCGACAUUUUCCAUGGACAAUCUUAGCAAUGCCAAUCUGCCCUUUUUAUUCAAAUGUCACGUUCGA